rnacentral:rRNA from 1 species
CCUACGGGAGGCAGCAGUGAGGAAUAUUGGUCAAUGGACGAGAGUCUGAACCAGCCAAGUAGCGUGAAGGAUGACUGCCCUAUGGGUUGUAAACUUCUUUUAUAUGGGAAUAAAAUGUUCCACGUGUGGGAUUUUGUAUGUACCAUAUGAAUAAGGAUCGGCUAACUCCGUGCCAGCAGCCGCGGUAAUACGGAGGAUCCGAGCGUUAUCCGGAUUUAUUGGGCUUAACGGGAGCGUAGGUGGAUUGUUAAGUCAGUUGUGAAAGUUUGCGGCUCAACCGUAAAAUUGCAGUUGAAACUGGCAGUCGUGAGUACAGUAGAGGUGGGCGGAAUUCGUGGUGUAGCGGUGAAAUGCUUAGAUAUCACGAAGAACUCCGAUUGCGAAGGCAGCUCACUGGACUGCAACUGACACUGAGGCUCGAAAGUGUGGGUAUCAAACAGGAUUAGAUACCCCAGUAGUC